GAUGAACGCUGGCGGCGUGCCUAAUACAUGCAAGUCGAGCGAACAGACGAGGAGCUUGCUCCUCUGACGUUAGCGGCGGACGGGUGAGUAACACGUGGAUAACCUACCUAUAAGACUGGGAUAACUUCGGGAAACCGGAGCUAAUACCGGAUAAUAUAUUGAACCGCAUGGUUCAAUAGUGAAAGACGGUUUUGCUGUCACUUAUAGAUGGAUCCGCGCCGCAUUAGCUAGUUGGUAAGGUAACGGCUUACCAAGGCAACGAUGCGUAGCCGACCUGAGAGGGUGAUCGGCCACACUGGAACUGAGACACGGUCCAGACUCCAACGGGAGGAAGCAGUAGGGAAUCUUCCGCAAUGGGCGAAAGCCUGACGGAGCAACGCCGCGUGAGUGAUGAAGGUCUUCGGAUCGUAAAACGCUGUUAUUAGGGAAGAACAAAUGUGUAAGUAACUAUGCACGUCUUGACGGUACCUAAUCAGAAAGCCACGGCUAACUACGU
rnacentral:rRNA from 1 species